CUACAGAACGAACGCUGGCGGCAGGCCUAACACAUGCAAGUCGAGCGCCCGCAAGGGGAGCGGCGCACGGGUGCGUAACGCGUGGGAACCUGCCUUAGGUUCGGAAUAACUCAGAGAGAUUUGAGCUAAUACCGGAUAAUGUCUUCGGACCAAAGAUUUAUCGCCUUUAGAUGGGCCCGCGUUGGAUUAGCUAGUUGGUGGGGUAAAGGCCUACCAAGGCGACGAUCCAUAGCUGGUCUGAGAGGAUGAUCAGCCACACUGGGACUGAGACACGGCCCAGACUCCUACGGGAGGCAGCAGUGGGGAAUAUUGGACAAUGGGCGAAAGCCUGAUCCAGCAAUGCCGCGUGAGUGAUGAAGGCCUUAGGGUUGUAAAGCUCUUUUACCCGAGAUGAUAAUGACAGUAUCGGGAGAAUAAGCUCCGGCUAACUCCGUG
rnacentral:rRNA from 1 species